AUCGAACGCUGGCGGCAUGCCUUACACAUGCAAGUCGAACGGCAGCACGGGAGCAAUCCUGGUGGCGAGUGGCGAACGGGUGAGUAAAGUAUCGGAACGUGCCCAGUCGUGGGGGAUAACGUAGCGAAAGUUACGCUAAUACCGCAUACGAUCUAUGGAUGAAAGCGGGGGAUCGCAAGACCUCGCGCGAUUGGAGCGGCCGAUAUCAGAUUAGGUAGUUGGUGGGGUAAAGGCUCACCAAGCCGACGAUCUGUAGCUGGUCUGAGAGGACGACCAGCCACACUGGGACUGAGACACGGCCCAGACUCCUACGGGAGGCAGCAGUGGGGAAUUUUGGACAAUGGGCGCAAGCCUGAUCCAGCCAUGCCGCGUGCAGGAUGAAGGCCUUCGGGUUGUAAACUGCUUUUGUACGGAACGAAAAGGUUUGGCUUAAUACGUUGAACUCAUGACGGUACCGUAAGAAUAAGCACCGGCUAACUACGUGCCAGCCGCCGCAGUAA
rnacentral:rRNA from 1 species